rnacentral:rRNA from 1 species
UACGAAGGGGGCUAGCGUUGCUCGGAAUCACUGGGCGUAAAGCGCACGUAGGCGGCUUUUUAAGUCAGGGGUGAAAUCCUGGAGCUCAACUCCAGAACUGCCUUUGAUACUGGCGAGCUUGAGUUCGGGAGAGGUGAGUGGAACUGCGAGUGUAGAGGUGAAAUUCGUAGAUAUUCGGAAGAACACCAGUGGCGAAGGCGGCUCACUGGUCCGGUACUGACGCUGAGGUGCGAAAGCGUGGGGAGCAAACAGG